AAAGCUUUUGCCUACAUUUGCAUUAUUUAUUACACUGAAUACUCUAAAUAAUCUUAAAUGCAAAUCAUAAUGGGUUGUUAAUACCAUGGAGCAUUAAAAUAUGUGUUGUCAAAAUUAAUUGACUAUAACAGGAAAUUUACUAGAUUGAAUUUUAGUGCAAAAAAUUAAUGUGAAUUAUAAAGAAAAUACAUUCCAGGCUUGUUAUGUAUUUUACUCACAAACUUAUAGAUACAUAAUUAUCACAUCAAUAAAGAUACAAAUCACAAGAAACAAAUAUUUAACAUCUUAGUAUUUAUAGGUCAAUGUUUCUUAAAGGUCAGCAUUGUUUUGUAUUUUAUCAUUUCUGUAUAUUUGAUUUUUUUCUUUAGAUAAUGAAUAUCACUUUGGAAUAAAACAGCAAAUGAAAUGUAAGUUACCCCAGGGUUCUAAUCUCUCAGGUCAUCUCUCCAAUGACUUUACAUCACAGCAAUAGUCCUAACUCUCUAUAUUCUUCACCCUCUUUAAUGAAUCCUCAUUUAUUUUUAGCCAUUAUGGCCUUCUUGCUUUUAGUUCAAAAUCUGUGUAAUGCAUAAGAUUCCCUCUUGGCCUCCAUUUUUUUUUUUUUUUUUGCUUAUUAUAUUCUUUUUCCAUGUACAUACAUGUAUCACGUUUUCUCACUUUCUUUAGGUCUCUGCUCAAAUGUCACCUUAUAAAUGGUUUUCUCCUAGGCCUCAUUAAAAUAGCAGCUCCCUACUUGGCAUGCCCUAUUCCCCUCACCUUCAUUUUCUUUUGCUUAUACCAUUUAUUAUGCCCUUUUAAAAAUCAUUUAUUUAGUUAGACUAAGUCUACUAAAGGAAGGAAUUUAUCUGUUUUAAUUUCUCUAAUGUUUCCAACACCUAGGCAGUGCUAGGCAUAUUUUGAGUUCUUGAUAAAUAUCUAUUGAAAUUGCA
rnacentral:lncRNA from 1 species